rnacentral:misc_RNA from 1 species
AACCGGUAUCAUUCUUUUAUUUUUAAAGCAUAGAUGCCAGGGAUUGGCAUGCAUAAAUCUCAGCUGAAGAUUCACAGACAAAUGUGACCAUCGUUUUUCCAGCUGUAGUUUUGCUCCCGUUGUUGGAAGCUCCCUUUUUCGUAAAUAUUCCUGCAACCUAACCUUUGUAAUCUUUUUUGGAGGCACAUAUUCAUCGCUGAUCCAGGAAUUUAUAUCAUGAUCGUCCAUGUCUGUUCAAACCGGAACGCGCCAGAAGUAGAGAGUGGUUAGGGGACGUAACUCUGCCUAUUUUUUUUUUCGAAUUCCUAAUAGAGGCUAUAGAUAAUUUCAAAAGUACUUCAUAGCUGUGGAAUUGUUGAGUUGGUCGUUCAGAUCUUCCAGAAUCACCGACUACUAUCUGCAUGAAGAACUAAUGGAAUCUUUGAAAUAUUCGGGUGAGACGUAGCUCCGUGGUACUGCGCUCGUCUGAUACGCGAUCGAUCUAGGAUCGAGUCCCGUCGGUGAGCCCGUUGGGCUAUUUCUCGUUCUAGCCAGAUGACAUUAAUCUCAAUUAAAGAUAUAUUAUCACACCCUCACCUCGGCUAUAUUCGUGCGUAUAUCGAAUUGAGAUUCAACAACGCUUUCCAUGGGAUACAAGCUAGCUGCCUAGUCUGAUAACAUUAUUAUUAGUAGGUUAGAGGAAACCCGCUACCGCCGCAUAGGUUACUCCACUCUUUCUUGUUUUUAAAUGGCGGGACGUACGUACCAAGGGAUCUUUUAUAUGCACUUUUCCACAGACAGGAAAGCACAUAUAACAGCCUUUGACCAGUUGUGGUGCACUAGUUGGAAUGAGAAAAAACAACAACAAUCAGUUAAAUAGAUCUACCGAGGUGGUUCGACCCUGUGACGGGAGCACCCCUGCCGAGCAUUUAACUGACCGACCUAAAUUCCGCCCAUUUCCCAAAUUGGUUGUGCCCGACUUUUUUUUGUCACAAGUGAAACCCCGUUCAUGAAUACCGACCCUUAUUACAGCCAAACAGUUUACACUCUUGAUGAAAAACCAAAUGUAAUUUUAAAAAUAACUCCUUGGCUAUCACUAAACUCAAGAAGCCUUCAAACAUGAAUCUAAAGUUUGUUUUAUUUAACGACACCACUAGAGCACACUGAUUUAUUAAUCAUCGGCUAUUGGAUGUCAAAUAUAUCGUCAUUUUGAGUCAUAAAAGAAACCCGAUACAUUUUUCCAUUAGUAGCAAGGGAUCUUUUAUAUGCACCAUCCCACAAACAGGAUAGCACAUACCACGGCCUUUGAUAUACCAGUCGUGGUGCACUGGAUGGAACGAGAAAUAGAUCAAUGAGCCCACAGACAAGUAUCGAUCGUAGACCGACCGCGCAUCAGACGUGCACUUUAAAACUGGGCUACGUUCCGCCCCAACACGGAUUAUGCAAAACCAACAGGCGAACUCUAUCGCGACAGUAUACACAAAGGAGGUCACUGGAUACUGCUACCGUAUGGUGAUUUCUGGAACAGUCCCAAGAAUUAAAAGACCCAGCUUUUUCGAGAUAUUACUCGUAGAGCAUACCGAAAUCUACAUGUCGCAAUCAUAACGAAAUAUGUCCCAACCAUAACGGAUCCAAACAUUUUCCCGAGGAGAUCCAAUUUGGGCAGCUUUUCACAUGUACGUGGGGGGCAGUGAGCUUCCUGCUUGGCUUAUGCCCCUACUAGUCCAGAGCAUGGGAGUCCGAGGACUUGGCAGCAUGGGAUUCCG